rnacentral:lncRNA from 1 species
GGCUGGGGCCAGCUGAAGGAUGGUAUUUAAAACCCAGUUGAGCAGAAUGUGGCGAGCUACGUUUCUCCUUGAGAGGUUAGUCCCUCAAGGCGCUCGGUAGUCCGCGUCCGUUACCUUGGAGACGGACAGCCCGGUCUGGCUGGAAAGUUUGAGCCGCCUAGGUUACCACGUGGUCCACGCUCAGACAAAAGAGUUGCAGAAGCCGAAGAAAUAGGCAUCGCAAGAGAUCGGAGCCCCGCGGACUCACGACUCUUCUUCCAUUUUCCCCAAUGGCCCAUGUCUUUCCAAAGUAAGUAAAAGGAGCAUCGAUGGGUGGUGAAGUGCGCAUGCGUCCCGCCCCCGGCUUCUUUUGGUCUGGGCCUGGUUGUCUUUUGACCCCGCCCCCUCCCCCGCCCUUAUCUCCCUAGCCCCGCCUCUCCCUCGGGCUCUCCCAGCUCCCUCGCGUUCCAGUGGUAGUUAACUGGGAGACCCUGUUCGCGUUUGCUGUUACGGUCCAUGGGUUGAGAGUGAUGGACGUUCUUUCCCGCCCCAACUCUUUCCAGACCCAACCGCUCUGGGAUUCGCUCCACAGUCCACAACUUCCAGAUUCUGGUGAGUCCGGGAGCGCUAAGGAGCAGAUGGGGGCUUGCUGACCCUGGGCCUGCAGUCCUCCUGCCCUGAACCCCCAGGCUGUGACUGUCCCGGGUGAUAGAGUCUGGAGACCUGAAUUCCAGGCCUGCCUGUGUCACACAGUUGCUGUAGGAUCCGGGGGCAAUUCUCGGAGCCUGUUUUUUUCUCAUCACCUUAUCGGAACGUGAAGGUAUUUUAUACUGCUCUCUUAUUUAUCUCUGAUCGCUACUAUGGUUUUCUAUUGGGUCUUUUCCAUGCCUUCUGUUUCUCACAGUUCUUAGCACCUCACAGCCUGGAUGUGCUUAGUAAAUUCUGGCUGGCUGAUAAAAAAGUGAUAGCUAGCAUUUCUGAAGCUCUUACCACAUGCUUCACAAAUAUCCCUUGGACUGCUCGCAUCAACCUGCGGAGGUGGGUUUUAUAAUUAGACCUAGUUUACAGAUGAGAAAAAUUGAGGCUCAGAGAAGUAAAGUCACUUGCUCAGGGUCACAGUAUCUGUAAGGGGUGAAGCUGGGAUUUGAACCCAUCAGGCUGUGUGACUGAUUGUGUUGUAUCUGGUAGGAUUAUGUUCCAUGGCAGCGGUCCAAGCAGAAAACCAAGCCAUCUACUCUGCCUCCAGUCCUACAAUCCAGAGGCCACAAGAAGACCAGAGUGAAGGCUUUGACUAGUGUCCCGCCAGGUGGGCAGAAACCCUUGAGGGUUGGUAUGUGGAUGGGAGACGGGACAGUGUGUAUGCCCUCGGCCUUUGGUGACAUCAACUGUAUUAGAGUAGGCUAAUUGCGGUAACAAACAAUCCCCAAGUUUCAAGGGUUAAUAUUCAAGCCUAUUUCUCAUUUCCGUCAAAGAACAAUUGUGGAUCUGCAGGGGAGGAGGUAAUCUUGUCCACAUGGUCAUUCAGCGAUCCAGGCUUCUUCAGCCUUGUGGCUCUGACAGUUUGUGAGGCCUUGGAGUCCUCUGCUAGAUAAUUCUGCACUCAGAGAGAGAGAGAGAGAGAGAGAGAGAGCAAGGAUAUGGGUAAUUGUGUGGACAUUUUUUUUUUUUUAGACCUGAAGUGAUACAUAUCACUCCCACUCAUGUUCCGGUGGCUGUAGCUCAGUCGUAUGACUACCCAUAACCACAAGAGGAGAAAUGUCCUGCUGGGUGUCCAGGAGGCCAAGAAAACAGGGUUUGGUCAACUCAGGAUAAUCUCCACCACAUUGUUGUUAUGCCUUCUGAGGGAGUUCUCAGGCCCUUGGCUCAGGCAGACCUGGGUUCACUUCUUGGCUCUGCCCUUUACCAUCUUGGAAAAGCCAUUCAUCUCUCUGAGCUUUAGUUUUCUCAUUUUUUUAAAAAUGUUUUUUAUUUAUUUUUGAAAGAGAGGGGGAGGCAGAGCAUGAGCGGGGGGAGGAGCAGAGAGAGAGGGAGACACAGAAUCUGAAGCAGGCUCCCGGCUCUGAGCCAUCAGCACAGAGCCCGACGCGGGGCAGGAACUCAUGACCCGCGAGAUCAUAACCUGAGCUGAAGUCGGACGCUCAACCGACUGAGCCACCCAGGCACCCCAUAGUUUUCUCAUUUGUAAUAUGAGGACCUGAUAGGAUGACCUCAAGAAUUAAAUGAGAUCUGUGUCAAGCAUUGUUGCUCAACCUUCUCAGACCCAACAUUCCUUUUAAUAACAAAUAUUUUGUAAUAUUCCUUUAGUAUCUGAGAUAAACUUCAUAGAUAAUAUAAUUGACCUAUGUAUGUAAUUUUAAAAAUUAAUAUAAUGCCCUCAGUGUAAAGUAAAGGAAAAGGAAAAGGAAAGCUGGUUAUAGUUAAAUAACUUCUAUUUUAGUAUGUAAAUACUCAGGGUGAACUCUAUUAGAAGAUAUGUAUGACAAAGUAGUCAGAAGCUUAUUCACAGAUGUGGAGUCACAGUGAAUGUAAGAGUUGCAAAUGCAGACUGACACGUGGUGGGAUGUUAGGGACUCAAAUGUCCAGAGGGAUUUUUCAUUGCAGUCACGAUUUCCAAAGUGAUGCCCCUCUCUUGGUAAAGUGCUUAACAAAACAGAGCACAAUCUUCCCUUGAUUGUAGCUGCUUUCUUGGAAAAUUCAGCAUUACCAUAAACCCCUACAAAGUACUCUUUGUGUUUAAAUUUUUUUCUUUAACGUUUAUUUAUUUUUUGGGAGACAGAGAGAGAGACAGAACAUGAGCAGGGGAGGGACGGAGAGAGGGAGUCACAGAAUCCGAAGCAGGCUCCAGGCUCUGAGCUGUCAGCACAGAGCCCGAUGCGGGGCUUGAACCCACGAUCUGUGAGAUCAGACCUGAGCUGAAGUCAGACGCUUAACCAACUGAGCCACCCAGGUGCCCCCUCUUUGUGUUUAUAUGUGAAAGAGAGUCAGGUUCUGGGAUCAGAUCAUUAUAAAUAUGGUUUUUACCUACAUCAGUGUCUGAUAGGGCUUUGGAAAGUCAUGCAGGAAGUAGGAGAAUUCUGUGUUCUGUGGGGCUGUCCUAUUCUGGGGCUAUCUAUUGAGCAUCCCUGGCCCCCACCCACAGAUGCCCAUCGGGUCCCCCAGUAUUAGUGAGAACCACAAAUCCUCCUUUCCAAUGUAUCUAAAACACCCCUGUCAAGAGAUUUGGAUGUUAAGUGCUGAGCACAAGGCCUGGUGGUAGUGACAGAAUUUGUGUCUUUGGCGUUAGAUCUAUUCAUACAGCAUCCACAGGGAAACUCCUUUCCUUCUGUCACUGGGGAGACAGUGAGAUGUGUAACAUACAACCACAGUAAGAACCAGAGUAAUUAACACAGGCCAAGCACUUACUAUGUGCCAGAUACUGUUCUCAGCACUUUGCCCACAUCACUUCAUUUAGUCUUCUCAAUAACCCCAUGAGGUGGGUGCUGUGACGAUCACCUCUUCUUCUAGAUAAGGCAUGGACAGGUGUAACUUCCAAGGUCCCACAGGUAGGAGGGGGCAGGGCCAGGCUGUGACAGUCGGCAGUUUGUCUCCAGGGUGCACAGUCUUAACCACAGGUCGAUGGAGAGUCUGUGGGCAGCGGAGAAACAUGGACCUGAGUUGGUGUUCCUGUCUCCCUUCCUGCAAUUCCAUCUAGGUUACCUCUCGCAGCCCCCGCUACAGAGAUUCCUGCUUUACGCCCGGUGAAAUCCUCUGUGUAAAUUACAGUGAUGAAAAUAGUUACCACUUGCUGAGGACUUAUUUUAUGUUAGGCUCUGUUGCAGAGGCGUCAUUCAUUCAUUCAUUCAUUCAUUCAUGUAUUCAUUCAGCAACAUCCAUUUGCUGAGUACCCACGUGCCCAAAAUUGGGCUGAGUGUUGUUGACUUAUGGUGACGGAGACAGAUUGGGUUUCCAGCUGCAUAGAGUUCACAGUCCCAACCUCAAACAUGUAACUACACAAAACUUAAAAAAAAAAAAAAAUUUUUUUUUUACGUUUAUUUUUAUUUAUUUUGAGAGAGAUACAGAGAAAGCAGGGGAGGGACAGAGAGGGAGACAGAAUCCCAAGCAGGCUCUGCACUGGCAGCACAGAGUCUAAUAUGGGAUUCGAACUCCCAAACCGUGAGAUCAUGACCUGAGCCGAAGUCACGACUCAGAAGGUAUACCAACUGAGCCCCCCAGGAGCCCCUUUUUUUAUUUUUUUUAUGAAAAAAUGUUUUUUAUGCAAAACUUUCAAUACACUUGAGAUAGAUGGGUACAAGGAAGUCACCACUUCAUUCAUUCCUUACGACCUGGGAGAUAAAAUCACUAUUUUACAGAUGAAAGAACUGAGGCUUCGGUUGGUAAAAUGUCUUAAGCAAAGUCAUGUCCUUGAGGGCAGCUUUUGUGUCUUCAACAAGAUGCAUCAGCUGAUUCCCCCAAGACGGGAUGACCCCAUUCCUUCUUGUUCCUCCCUUUUGCAACUAAAAAAGCCCUAGAUGUAACACAACAAACAUAAGAAGACUUUGAAAACUGGAAAGAAUAACGUGGGUUGGUUGCUAAAGGGGUGAGCAGUCAUCUGGCCUGUAUGCUACGUCUCAACAGGGGACGGACUGUCUGCUAAAAUGAAGAUUAAGUAGGAUCCAGAGUAUUAUUUAAAACUUGGGGGUGCUUGGGUGGCUCGGUUGGUUAAGUAUUGGACUCUUUUUUUUAAAUGUUUUUAUUUUAUUUAUUUUUUAACUUUUAAUGCUUAUUUAUUUUUGAGAGAGAGAGAGAGCGAGCAUGAGUGGGGAAGGGCAGAGAGACAAGAGGGAGACACAGAAUCUGAAGUAGGCUCCAGGCUCUGAGCUGUCAGCACAGAGCCUGACCCAGGGCUCAGACUUGUGAACCGCAAUAUCAUGACCUGAGCCAAAGUCAGACGCUCAACCAUCUGAGCCACCCAGGCACCUCAAACAUCAGGCUCUUAAUUUCAGCUCAAGUCAUGAUCUCAUGGUUCGUGAGUUCGAGCCCCAUGUCGGGCUCUAUGCUGACAGCACAGAGCCUGUUUGGGAUUUUCUGUCUCCCUCUCUCUGUGCUCCUUCCCUGCUCACUCUCUAUCUCUCUCUCUCAAAAAUAAAUAAAUAAGCAUUAAAAAUAAACAUCAAGGAUACGACAAAAGCACUUGUCAUACCAAGAAUAAGGAAAAUCACAACAUGAAGGAGAAAAGACAGACAUCAACACCAAGAUGAGUCAGAUAGAAUGAUUUGACUGUUUUUAUUUAUAGAUGGCAUGCCUGUCUAUGUAGAGAAUCUUAAGGAAUCUACUAAAUCUAAAAGAAACUAGAAUUAAUAAGUUUGGCAAGGUUGCAGAAUACAAGCACACAGAAAAAUCAACCACAUUUCUAUGUUCUUACAAUGAGUAUGGGGAAACCAAAAUUAAAAAUACAUUUAUAAUCCAAAGAAAUUGAAAUAUUUAGGCAUAAACUUAACAAAGAAUGUAUAGGACUUGUAUGCUGAAAAUUACAUAAUGCUAAUGAAAGAGGUCAAAGAAGACCUAAAUAAAUGGACAGACAUACUAUGUUCACAAUUAUAAUACUCAGCAUAGUGGGGGCCCCUGGGUGGUUCAGUCGGUUGAGUGUCUGACUUCAGCUCAGGUCAUGAUCUCACAGUUUGUGGGUUCGAGCCCCACGUCGGGCUCUGUGCUGACAGCUCGGAGCCUGGAGCCCGUUUCAGAUUCUGUGUCUCCCUCUUUCUCUCCUCCUCCCCCGCUCACGCUCUGUAUCUCAAAAAUAAAGAAACAUUAAAAAAAAUUAAUAAAAUUUAAAAAAAGAUUCUCUCUCCCUCUCUCUCUUAAAAAUAAAUAAAAACAUUAAAAAAAAAAGAACACUCAGCAUAGUAAAGAUGCCAAUUCUCCCCAAUUUGAUUUCUAUGUAUAAUGUAAUUCCUAUCAAAAUCCCAGGAAGGUGUUUUAUAGACAUAGGUUUAUUCUAAAAUUUAUAUUGAAAAGCAAGGCCCUAGAAUAAACUAUUUUGAGAAAGGAGGAUAAUGUGGGAAGAAUCACUUUACCUGAUACUAAGGCAUACUAUACAGCUACAGUAAUCAAGACAGCAUAGAAUGGGCAGAGAUAAACACCUACACCAGUGGAAUAGGACAGAGAAACCAGAAAUAGAGCCACAUAAAUAUGCCUGGCUGAUUUUUGACAAGGGUGCAAAAACAGCUCAGUGGAGGAAAAGAAAGCCUUUUCCACAAAUAGUGCUGGGGCAAGUGGACAUCCAUAGGCAAAAAGAAAAAACAAACAAACAAAAACAAAAAAACAAAAAAAGAGAGAGAGAAAGAAAAACAAAAAGAACCUUGACUUGAGUUUCAGAAGUUAGAUAAAACUUAACUCCAAAUUAAUUGUAAAAUGAAAUAAAAAUUAAAUGUUUUCAUGUAAAAGUGUACACCUUUUAGGAAAGAAAAUACAGGAGAGAAAAGUCUUUGGGACCCAUGGCCACGUGAAAAGCUCUCAGACUUUAUACCAACAGCUUGAUCCAUAAAAGAAAAAUGAAAUAAAUGGGGAAGUUAGAUAUCAUCAAAAGUAAAAACCUGUUCUGUGAAAGACUCUGUUAAGGGGAUGAAAAGACGAGCUACAGACUUGGAGAAAAUAUUUGCAAACUGCAUCUGACAAAGGACUGCUACGUAGAAUAUAUUGAGAACUCUCAACAGAAGAACAAUGCAGUUAGCAAAUGGGCAAAAGACACGAAGAGACAUUUCACUGAUGAGGAUAUCCAGAUGGUAAAUAAUCACAUGAAAAGAUGUUUGACAUCAUUAUCCAUUAGGGCCGUGCAAGUUACACCACAGUGACUUGUCACCACACGCCUAUCAGAAUGGCUAAAAUGAAAAAUAGUGAUAACACCGAAUGCCGGCAAAGAGGAGAAGCUGGACGAUGCAUGUGUUGUUGGUGGGCAUGUAAAAUGCUACAGCCGCUCUGGAAAAGACUUCGGCAGUUUCUAAUGAAACCAACAUGCAGUUCUCAUCACGGUUCAACAAUUGCACUCUUGGGCAUUUAUUCCCGUGACGUGACAACUUAGGGUCACACAAAAACCAGUGCAUGAAUGUUCCGUAGCAGCCUUAUUCAUAAUACUCUCAAACUGGAAGCAAUCCAGAUGUCCUUUAAUGGUUAAUGGUUAAAUAAGCUAUGGUACAUCCAUACCACGGAAUACUAUCCAUUGACAAAAAGGAAAGGAUUGUUCAGAUUCUGUGUCUCCCUGCGUCUCUCUGCCCUUCCUCUGCUCGUGCUCUGUCUGUCUCUCGCAAAAAUAAAAGGAAAGGAUUGUUGAUACAGUCAAUAACUUGGAUGAAUCCACAGAAUUUUGCUGAGUGAAAAAAAGCCAAUUCCAGAAGUUAUAUAUUCUACGAUUCCAUUUAUGUAGCAUUCUGGGAAUGACAAAAUUGUAGAAAUGGAGAACGGAUGAGUGAUCACCAGGGGUUAGGGACACAGGCUGGGGGAGGGUGGUAAGGGGAGGGGAAGAGACUAUGGCUAUAAAAGGCAACAUGAGGGGCGCCUGCUCAGUCGGUUAAGCGGCCGACUUCGGCUCAGGUCAUGAUCUCGCGGUCCGUGAGUUCGAGCCCCGCAUCGGGCUCUGUGCUGACAGCUCAGAGCCUGGAGCCUGUUUCAGAUUCUGUGUCUCCCUCUCUCUGACCCUCCCCUGUUCAUGCUCUGUCUCUCCCUGUCUCAAAAAUAAAUAAAACAUUAAAAAAAAAACAUUUAAAAAAGGCAACAUGAGCUAUGCUUGCGGUGAUGGAAACGUUCUAUAUCUUGCCUGUCUUAACAUCAAUUUCAUGGUUCUGAAAUUGUAGGUGAUUUUGCAAAAUGCUACCAUUGGGAGAGACUGUGUUAAGGAUACAGAAGAUCUCUGUGUGUGUGUGUGUGUGUGUUUUUAAUGUUUUAUUUAAUUUUGAGAGCAAGAGAGUGUGAGCAGGGGAGGGGCAGAGAGAGAGGGGAAUGGGGGAUCCGAAGUGGGCUCAGUACUGACAACAGCAAGUCCGAUAUGGGGCUCAAACUCAUGAACCUUGGGAUCAUGACCUGAGCCGAAGUCAGAUGCUUAACUGACUGAGCCACCCAGGUGCCCCAGUAAUAAAUUUAAUUAAAAAUAAAAAAGAUAUAUCAGGGCUACUGCCAUUAAUGAAAAUAAAUUGUCAUUAUUAAAGCUACAAAUCUCCCUAACUAUUUGAGUUCAACUUACUAAUCUUAUAAUUUUUACAAACACUUCUAAGGGGGAUUUGGGAAGUUGGUUAAUUAAUUUCCCCUAAUUCUUUUAAGCCACAUCUUAAAAUUUCAUAUAUUGAAUUUUCAUUUUCAAAGGGUUCGCUUGUCUGAUUCACAAAGACCAUCAAGCAUUUAAAUAAUGCUUGUACAUCUAAUAAAUAAACUUCGAGAUAUGGGUAAUCUUAUGUCCUCUCAUGUUUCGGUAAUUUACACACAUUUAAUAAGAACGUCUUAAACUUUUAAUUUGAAACAAAUCUAAAUCAAAAUCUCAUUUACACAUUUUAAAUUAGAACCACAAUAUUAAUCUAUUAAUCAUUCCAUCUUUUAAACACUACAAUUAAAUACCCGGCGUAUACAGAUAACUCAUAACUUUAACACAACAUUAUUGUAGUUUACUUCAUCACUUCAGCAGUUAAUGCUAACAUCUUCCAGGGUUAGCUGUGUCGAUGCAUUGAAGAAAUAAUAUUUUUCUGAAUUGUACUGGGUUGCACCUGGAGUAGGGAUUUGGGUGGGGGNGGGGGGGGGGGGGGGGGGGGGGUGGGGGGGGGGGGGGGGGGGGGGGGGGGGGGGACGAGAAUGUGGCCACAACAUUCAUGAUGAUUUGGGUGAUUUUUUUUUUUUAAUUUUUUUUUUCAACGUGUAUUUAUUUUUGGGACAGAGAGAGGCAGAGCAUGAACGGGGGAGGGGCAGAGAGAGAGGGAGACACAGAAUCGGAAACAGGCUCCAGGCUCUGAGCCAUCAGCCCAGAGCCUGACGCGGGGCUCGAACUCACGGACCGCGAGAUCGUGACCUGGCUGAAGUCGGACGCUUAACCGACUGCGCCACCCAGGCGCCCCAGUGAUUUUUUUUUUUUAAUUUAUUUUUGAGAGAGAGAGAGAGAGAGAGCACAAGCAGGGGAGGGGCAGAGAGAGUGGGGGACAGAGGAUCUAAAGCAGGCUCUGUGCUGACUGUAGAGAGUCCGAUGCAGGGCUGGAACCCAUGAACCAUGAGAUCGUGACCUGAGCCGAAGUCAGUCCCUCAACCGGCUGAGCCACCCAGGUGCCUUGAUUUGGGUGAUUUGUCCCGGGCUGGCACAUGACACGCUGUGAGGAAGCAGGGGUUCUGAGAACAUGUCCUCCAAAUGCCUUAUUCUGAUCGGAACUAUUUUUGUAUACUCCUUAUCUGGCAGGGCCACAGCUUUUAGAGGUAUUUCAGAUAGCCGCUCGGGAGUUUUGCACAGCUCCUGUGCCUUCGUGUGGUGCUGUGGUUCUGAUGCCAAUCCUCAGGUCAUCAGUAACAGCAGUGACAACGAGAAAUGCAUAUUCAGCACUGAGUAUGGAUCAGGCACUUCUCGACACACUUUAAAGCAGAAUAACAUUUAAUCUUCACGACAACCCGAUGAAGUAGGCAUGAUGAUCAAUCUUAUAGGUGGGAAAACUGAGGGACAGAGAGGUCAUGUGACCCGCCCAAAUUCACGGGCUAGUGGAAAGCAGUGUCUGGAUUCGAACCCAGGCUGCCUGGCUGAUUAGUUCCUGCCCUUAACCCCCGCCCUGUCUGACUCUGCUACCGGCCAGGUUGGUGGGAGAGAUUGCGGGCACCUGGCCGUCUCCUGUGCUACUCUUCUCGCUCCUCCCCUCUGUCCGUGCCCAGGGUCACGGGGAAGCCUCCUGCACACUUCUCUGUCCCUUAUAUCAAGGCCCAAAGUGAGGCCUGGGAGCUUACUGAUAGAUGUGAGUUUCAUGCUCUGCCUCACUGUCACAUAUUAUAAGGUCGAGAGUGGGUGGGGCUGGGGCCUGGGCCGCCUCAAUGGAUGGUACUGGGACCCGAUCCUAGGCCUGCCUAUAUCCUUACUCCCUCUCUGCCUUUUCCCAUGCCCUAGCGUUGCAUUCCAAGUCCGCCACGUCGAUGACAAGCCAGCUGAGGCAGCCACAGGAAAUGCACAGAGAGAAGCUGGACUCUGGGAAGGCACAGGCCAAAAUCCGGCUAAUGAAGGUAGGAGCAUCCUCCCACAGGCACCGGGGCCCAG